GUGCCAGCCGCCGCGGUAAUACCGGCAGCCCGAGUGAUGGCCGAUCUUAUUGGGCCUAAAGCGUCCGUAGCUGGCUGCGCAAGUCCGUCGGGAAAUCCACUCGCCCAACGAGUGGGCGUCCGACGGAAACUGCACAGCUUGGGACCGGAAGGCUCGAAGGGUACGUCUUGGGUAGGAGUGAAAUCCUGUAAUCCUGGACGGACCGCCGAUGGCGAAAGCACUUCGGGAAGACGGAUCCGACGGUGAGGAACGAAAGCCAGGGUCUCCAACCGGAUUAGAUACCCCUGUAGUCC
rnacentral:rRNA from 1 species